UCCUUCGGGAGCACCGGCGGACUGCUCAGUAACACGUGGACAACCUACCCUCGGGUGGGGGAUAACCUCGGGAAACUGAGGCUAAUACCCCAUAGGCCUCGGAUACUGGAAGGUUCCGAGACCGAAAGCUCCGGCGCCCGAGGAUGGGUCUGCGGCCUAUCAGGUAGUUGGUGGUGUAAAGGACCACCAAGCCUACGACGGGUACGGGCCCUGAGAGGGGGAGCCCGGAGAUGGACUCUGAGACACGAGUCCAGGCCCUACGGGGCGCA
rnacentral:rRNA from 1 species